rnacentral:rRNA from 1 species
UGGGGAAUAUUGCACAAUGGGCGCAAGCCUGAUGCAGCCAUGCCGCGUGUAUGAAGAAGGCCUUCGGGUUGUAAAGUACUUUCAGCGGGGAGGAAGGUGUUGAGGUUAAUAACCUCAGCAAUUGACGUUACCCGCAGAAGAAGCACCGGCUAACUCCGUGACAGCAGCCGCGGUAAUACGGAGGGUGCAAGCGUUAAUCGGAAUUACUGGGCGUAAAGCGCACGCAGGCGGUCUGUCAAGUCGGAUGUGAAAUCCCCGGGCUCAACCUGGGAACUGCAUUCGAAACUGGCAGGCUAGAGUCUUGUAGAGGGGGGUAGAAUUCCAGGUGUAGCGGUGAAAUGCGUAGAGAUCUGGAGGAAUACCGGUGGCGAAGGCGGCCCCCUGGACAAAGACUGACGCUCAGGUGCGAAAGCGUGGGGAGCAAACA